rnacentral:ncRNA from 1 species
AUUGUUUUUGGUGGUGCAUGGCCGUUGGUGGUGCGUGGGUUGACCUGUCUAGCGUUGAUUCAGCUAACGAGCGAGAUUAUCGCCAAUUAUUUACUUUGCCGAAGUCCUUCGGUUAAAGUUCUAAUUGGGACUCCCUGCGAUUUUAGCAGGUGGAAGAGGGUAGCAAUAACAGGUCCGUGAUGCCCUUUAGAUGCUCUGGGCUGCACGCGUGCUACAAUGUUAGGAUCAAUAGGACUGCGAGCCUGAGAGGGUGCGCUACUCUUAUAAUCCCUAACGUAGUUGGGAUUGACGUUUGUAAUCAGCGUCAUGAACCAGGAAUCCCUUGUAAAUGUGUGUCAACAACGCACGUUGAAUACGUCCCUGCCCUUUGUACACACCGCCCGUCGCUCCUACCGAUUGGAUGACUCGGUGAAAUCACCGGAUGCUUACGAGCAGAAAGUGAUUAAAUCACGUUAUCUAGAGGAAGGAGAAGUCGUAACAAGGUAACGGUAGGUGAACCUGCCGUUGGAUCAGUU